GACCGCAAAGGAUUAUGGUCUAUUGGAAAGUCGAAAAUGUUUGUCGAAAUAAUGCGCCAAAUAAACUGAAGUGUUGUUUCGUUUAUUAAAGCCGGCCUAAGUGAGCUAACAAAGAAAUCAUCAGUCCACAAAAGAAUCAACCAGGGAAGGAGAAAAACAUUCAAAGCUGCAAAUUGCCAAAUCCAUCACCGGCCUAAAGGAGCUAACAAAAAAAAUCAUCAGUCCAUAAAAGAAUCAACCAGUGAAGGAGAAAAACAUUCAAAGCUGUAAAUUGCCAAAUCCAUCAGUUGGAAGAUGGAUGUCAAAGUCUCAGACAAAAGCUUCCAGAGUUGAGGAGAGAACACUUCAACAAAAACAAGCACGAGAAGAAUGACUGCAAAAAAGUUUUUCGCAGAUUCAUUUCCUUAUCAAGUGUAUUUAAGGAAAAUGGACCUGUCUACAGAGACUAGAUGUAAAUUGUCAAGGACUGCAAUGAGCAAUUCAAUGACUCCUUUCUAAUUGUGUCAAGUGUCAUAAAAAAUUAAAACUGUUAUAAAUGGACGUGUAGUAAUGAUGAAAUUAUUACCCUGUUUGCGAAUAACAUUAACUAUUCAUGAACUUAGUUCAUGAAUGACAUUUUGAAAAAAUCAUGUUCAUGAACUGUCAAGUUCAUUAACUAAGUGGGAGUUCAUGAACAUGAUUUGUCCAAAUUGUCAUUCAUGAAUAGUUUAUGUUUUUCUUUAAAAGCACACGCCAGGGGCUAGAAUAAGGUUAGGUGAAUAAGGGUCCUCUUAUUUAAACUUCAGAUAGGCUUGCACAAGCUCGCAAAGUGAAUUGUAACGAGCUUAUCAAGCUCGUAAUAUUGCUCAUACAAGC